UCGGCCUCCCAGAGUGCUAGGAUUACAGGCGUGAGGCACCGCGCCCGGCCGCCAAGACACUUCUGUCUGUGCAUGGAGAGAUAUCCCUAGUUUGCACUCCAGGCCUCAGAAAAACCACAGCAGGGUCUCAUGAAGGAGAUGGCAGCUGUCUCACAGCUAGCGGUCAUGCGGGUAGGUGGAUGGCUGCUAGCAGGUUUGGGGACAUGGGAUCGUCUGAGAUGGAAGAAAGCGCUGGGCCCUCGCUCCUCCUACACACAGGCACACACUCCUGCCCGAGUCCCGGAGUUCGCCAACUCCCCAGACUGCGUGUUCUCCAGGAAGCCCGUGGCCUCCUGGUUAAAAGCCUCUACAGCAGAUGAUAGGCCCAGAGGGUCACAGCUGAGAAGGAGCCACACGAGGAGUUUGACAUGAGCUAGGCUCGGAAGGACAGACAAGAUGUCAGUGAAGGGGAGGGCUGGGCAGGGAGGAAGGUCUUGGGGCGGUCCAGAGCCCAAACCCUGACUCAGGUGGUCCUGGGUACAAAUCCUGCCUCCCAAUCCAACCAGCUGUGUGACCCUGGGCAAAUGACACCUGAGUGUCAGUCUCCUUGUCUGUACAAGGGGUUGAUGACAAUGUCCCCUUCACUUAGUGACAUCACACAGGCAAAUGAAGAGCUCACGGUCAGACAGAGAAUGAACACGUAGGGGCCAGUGUGACCUAGAGAAGUCAGCGGAAGGACAGGCUGCAGAGAGGGAAGCGACAGAGCUUGAGGAGCUCCCCUGGCAGCCUAAUGAGGAUGAACACAGGGUCUUGCUCCGUCACCCAGGCUAUGUUAUGCUGCUCUAGCUGGUCUUGAACUCCUGGGCUCAAGUGAUCCUGCCGCCUCAGCCUCCCAAAGUGAUGGGAUUACAGGUGUGAGCCACUGUGCCCGGCCUCCAAGAUUUAUUCUAAGGGUUCAACCUCAAGGAUAUACUCUAGUCUCUAUGGCCUUGAGUUUUAAAAGCCUUUACUGUUAUAUCUAAACAAAAAGUUUACUUAAAAAAAUAAACUGCUGUAGGGGAGGACAGGAGAUUGUAUUAGAAAACACAA